UACGUAGGGACCAAGCGUUGUCCGGAAUCAUUGGGCGUAAAGAGCGUGUAGGCGGCUUGUUAAGUCUUGCGUGAAAUCUUGCGGCUCAACCGCAAGCGGUCGUGGGAAACUGGGUGGCUAGAGUGCGGGAGAGGAGAGUGGAAUUCCUGGUGUAGCGGUGGAAUGCGCAGAUAUCAGGAAGAACACCCGUGGCGAAGGCGGCUCUCUGGAACGCAACUGACGCUGAGACGCGAAAGCGUGGGGAGCAAACAGG
rnacentral:rRNA from 1 species